rnacentral:rRNA from 1 species
CGUAAUGAUGGCCAGGCUGUCUCCACCCGAGACUCAGUGAAAUUGAACUCGCUGUGAAGAUGCAGUCGUACCCGCGGCAAGACGGAAAGACCCCGUGAACCUUUACUAUAGCUUGACACUGAACAUUGAGCCUUGAUGUGUAGGAUAGGUGGGAGGCUUUGAAGCGUGGACGCCAGUCUGCGUGGAGCCGACCUUGAAAUACCACCCUUUAAUGUUUGAUGUUCUAACGUGGACCCGUGAUCCGGGUUGCGGACAGUGUCUGGUGGGUAGUUUGACUGGGGCGGUCUCCUCCUAAAGAGUAACGGAGGAGCACGAAGGUUGGCUAAUCCUGGUCGGACAUCAGGAGGUUAGUGCAAUGGCAUAAGCCAGCUUGACUGCGAGCGUGACGGCGCGAGCAGGUGCGAAAGCAGGUCAUAGUGAUCCGGUGGUUCUGAAUGGAAGGGCCAUCGCUCAACGGAUAAAAGGUACUCCGGGGAUAACAGGCUGAUACCGCCCAAGAGUUCAUAUCGACGGCGGUGUUUGGCACCUCGAUGUCGGCUCAUCACAUCCUGGGGCUGAAGUAGGUCCCAAGGGUAUGGCUGUUCGCCAUUUAAAGUGGUACGCGAGCUGGGUUUAGAACGUCGUGAGACAGUUCGGUCCCUAUCUGCCGUGGGCGCUGGAGAACUGAGGGGGGCUGCUCCUAGUACGAGAGGACCGGAGUGGACGCAUCACUGGUGUUCGGGUUGUCAUGCCAAUGGCACUGCCCGGUAGCUAAAUGCGGAAGAGAUAAGUGCUGAAAGCAUCUAAGCACGAAACUUGCCCCGAGAUGAGUUCUCCCUGAGACUUUAGGUCUCCUGAAGGAACGUUGAAGACGACGACGUUGAUAGGCCGGGUGUGUAAGCGCAGCGAUGCGUUGAGCUAACCGGUACUAAUGAACCGUGAGGCUUAACCUUACAACGCCGAAG